ensembl:lncRNA
AUUAGCAACAGAAACUCUGAAUGUGGUGAGGGCACCAGAUAAGAUGCUGGUGUUUCUUAGAAGCCCGUGAGAUUUAAAAGAAAGGAAAAGAAAAGAAAUCUACAUGAUUUAUUUUUCUACUUUUUCAAAUUAAGCUUCUUAUCAAACUGUGUGAUAUCAAUCAGGUUUUUGUGGCUGUGCAAGCAGCACAAUUUAGUUGUGGUCUCCAUGACCCCAGUUUGACGCCAGUGAAAGUAGAUUACUCUACUUUGGAAGCCUAACACUGAUCUUGAAGAUGAGGGUAAUGGAGACACAGGCGUUAAAGCUACCUGGAGGAGCACAACAGAUCGCAGAACUCACAGAUUCUGCACUCUGCAGAAGCAGUUUCUGGAAAAACUCACUGUCCAUCCCUCUCUUGAUCUUCUUCUGGUGCUGCCAGAAAACCUGGGAGAGAUCAACUCUGCAGGAAACUUCUGGUGCUAGGAGAGAAUUCAUUAACCAAACUCUGGGACAAAGCAAAGGAUGCAAUUGGCUCUAAUACUGGUGUUCUAGCCUUGGAAAAUGAGCGGUCCUCCGUCAUAAUGACAGGUGAUGAGAAAGAAGGUGCUUAUGUAUUCUGCAGACAUUUGCAAACCUACCUUGGAAUCCUGCUGGUCUCACAGCAUACAAAACUAUUUGUUGGUAGUUCCACUGACUCAAUGGGUCUACUUGUGUGAGCAAAGUUACCGAGGCUGCCUUUUCAGUUGUGUUAACACUUAAAUUCAGAUACUAAUCAAUAGUUACAAAAGAUCUCAAGAAGAGAGAGAGAGAGAGAGAGAGAGAGAGAGUCUGGUUCUACUCCCAUGGAUGAAAACUGGUGACUUUCAAGGACUAAGCUGAAGCGGGUUUGACUAAAGGCUCUCUGUCCAGGCUGUCCCUUUGAAACAUGAAAGCCUGCCUGGAGUUGCCACUGUAGAGCAGAGAGUGACAGUCAAUGGAUGGGGACCUGGACAUGAUUACAUCCACUCUACUGCCCGGCCAUACACUGAUGGAAUGAUCAUUUGGAAAAUGGCUACUGCCCACAUUUACAUUCCUUUCAGCGUUGUUCCAUAGCCAAUUAGAGUGGUAGCCCAGCCUAUAUUCAUGCCAGUCUUGUACUAUAUUGUAAGAAAGAGGAAAGGAGCAGCUCAGAAGUCUUUAAUUAUUCCUCCAGCCAUUUAUUGACCUGCUCUCUAAAGGCCAUAUACGGGCCUUCAUCUGCAUGCAAAAUUCCUAUUGACAUCACUGGGAGGGCCACAGGCAGAUGGAAGGUACUUUGUAAACCUCACAUUUUAAAGAUGUUGUAA